CUGUGGUACGGAACAACUCCGGGAAACUGGAGCUAAUACCGUAUGUGUCCUCUGGGACAAAGAUUCAUCGCCAUGGGAUGGGCCCGCGUAGGAUUAGCUAGUUGGCGGGGUAACGGCCCACCAAGGCUACGAUCCUUAGCUGGUCUGAGAGGAUGAUCAGCCACACUGGGACUGAGACACGGCCCAGACUCCUACGGGAGGCAGCAGUGGGGAAUAUUGGACAAUGGGCGCAAGCCUGAUCCAGCAAUGCCGCGUGAGUGAUGAAGGCCUUCGGGUUGUAAAGCUCUUUCGCACGCGACGAUGAUGACGGUAGCGUGAGAAGAAGCCCCGGCUAACUUCGUGCCAGCAGCCGCGGUAAUACGAAGGGGGCUAGCGUUGUUCGGAAUUACUGGGCGUAAAGGGCGCGUAGGCGGUGUGUCAAGUCAGGCGUGAAAGCCCCGGGCUCAACCUGGGAACCGCGCUUGAGACUGGCACGCUAGAGUUCGGGAGAGGAUGG
rnacentral:ncRNA from 1 species